UCAGGACGAACGCUGGCGGCGUGCCUAACACAUGCAAGUCGAACGGACGAGAGGAGCUUGCUCCUCAAGUUAGUGGCGGACGGGUGAGUAACACGUGAGCAACCUGCCCUUCGGAGGGGGACAACAGCUGGAAACGGCUGCUAAUACCGCAUGAUACAGUCUGGAGGCAUCUCCGGGCUGUCAAAGAUUUUAUCGCCGAAGGAUGGGCUCGCGUCUGAUUAGAUAGUUGGUGGGGUAACGGCCCACCAAGUCGACGAUCAGUAGCCGGACUGAGAGGUUGAACGGCCACAUUGGGACUGAGAUACGGCCCAGACUCCUACGGGAGGCAGCAGUGGGGAAUAUUGGGGCCAAUGGGGGCAACCCUGACCCAGCAACGCCGCGUGGAGGAAGAAGGCUUUCGGGUUGUAAACUCCUUUGACGAGGGACGAUAGUGACGGUACCUCGAAAACAAGCCACGGCUAACUACGUGCCAGCCGCCGC
rnacentral:rRNA from 1 species